rnacentral:rRNA from 1 species
AGUGAACGCUGGCGGUAGGCCUAACACAUGCAAGUCGAACGGCAGCACAGUAAGAGCUUGCUCUUACGGGUGGCGAGUGGCGGACGGGUGAGGAAUACAUCGGAAUCUACUUUUUCGUGGGGGAUAACGUAGGGAAACUUACGCUAAUACCGCAUACGACCUACGGGUGAAAGCAGGGGAUCUUCGGACCUUGCGCGAUUGAAUUAGCCGAUGUCGGAUUAGCUAGUUGGCCGGGUAAAGGCCCACCAAGGCGACGAUCCGUAGCUGGUCUGAGAGGAUGAUCGGCCACACUGGAACUGAGACACGGUCCAUACUCCUACGGGAGGCAGCAGUGGGGAAUAUUGGACAAUGGGCGCAAGCCUGAUCCAGCCAUACCGCGUGGGUGAAGAAGGCCUUCGGGUUGUAAAGCCCUUUUGUUGGGAAAGAAAAGCAGCAGGUUAAUACCCCGCUGUUCUGACGGUACCCAAAGAAUAAGCACCGGCUAACUUCGUG